CCUACGGCAUCUGCAGUGGGGAAUAUUGGACAAUGGGCGAAAGCCUGAUCCAGCCAUGCCGCGUGUGUGAAGAAGGCCUUCGGGUUGUAAAGCACUUUCAGUGGGGAAGAAAGCCUUGGGGCUAAUACCCUCGAGGAAGGACAUCACCCACAGAAGAAGCACCGGCUAACUCCGUGCCAGCAGCCGCGGUAAUACGGAGGGUGCGAGCGUUAAUCGGAAUUACUGGGCGUAAAGCGCGCGUAGGCGGUCUGAUAAGCCGGUUGUGAAAGCCCCGGGCUCAACCUGGGAACGGCAUCCGGAACUGUCAGGCUAGAGUGCAGGAGAGGAAGGUAGAAUUCCCGGUGUAGCGGUGAAAUGCGUAGAGAUCGGGAGGAAUACCAGUGGCGAAGGCGGCCUUCUGGACUGACACUGACGCUGAGGUGCGAAAGCGUGGGUAGCAAACAGGAUUAGAUACCCCAGUAGUC
rnacentral:rRNA from 1 species